AGUGAACGCUGGCGGUAGGCCUAACACAUGCAAGUCGAACGGCAGCACAGUAAGAUCUUGCUCUUACGGGUGGCGAGUGGCGGACGGGUGAGGAAUACAUCGGAAUCUACUUUUUCGUGGGGGAUAACGUAGGGAAGCUUACUCUAAUACCGCAUACGACCUACGGGUGAAAGCAGGAAAGCUUCGGACCUUGCGCGAUUGAAUGGGCCGAUGUCGGAUUAGCUGGUUGGCGGGGUAAAGACCCACCAAGGCGACGAUCCGUAGAUGGUCUUAGAGGAUGAUCAGCCACACUGGAACUGAGACACGGUCCAGACUCCUACGGGAGGGAGCAGUGGGGAAUAUUGGACAAUGGGCGCAAGCCUGAUCCAGUCAUACCGCGUGGGUGAAGAAGGCCUUCGGGUUGUAAAGCCCUUUUGUUGGGAAAGAAAAGCAGCAGGUUAAUACCCCGCUGUUCUGACGGUACCCAAAGAAGAAGCACCGGCUAACUUCGUG
rnacentral:rRNA from 1 species